rnacentral:misc_RNA from 1 species
GAUGAAGAACGUAGCGAAAUGCGAUAAGUAGUGUGAAUUGCAGAAUUCAGUGAAUCAUCGAAUCUUUGAACGCACAUUGCGCCCCUCGGUAUUCCGUGGGGCAUGCCUGUUCGAGCGUCAUUUACCCCUCAAGCACUGCUUGGUGUUGGGCGUCUGUCCCGCUUCGCGCGCGGACUCGCCCCAAAGGUAUUGGCAGCGGUCGUGCCAGCUUCUCGCGCAGCACAUUGCGCUUCUCGAGGCGGUCGAUCGGCGUCCACGAAGCUCACCUCCACCAUUUGACCUCGGAUCAGGUAGGGAUACCCGCUGAACUUAAGCAUAUCAAUAGCGGAGGA